rnacentral:rRNA from 1 species
GAGUUUGAUCGUGGCUCAGAUUGAACGCUGGCGGCAUGCCUUACACAUGCAAGUCGAACGGCAGCACGGGAGCUUGCUCCUGGUGGCGAGUGGCGAACGGGUGAGUAAUGCAUCGGAACGUAUCCUGGAGUGGGGGAUAACGUAGCGAAAGUUACGCUAAUACCGCAUAUUCUGUGAGCAGGAAAGCGGGGGACCUUCGGGCCUCGCGCUCUUGGAGCGGCCGAUGUCGGAUUAGCUAGUUGGUGAGGUAAAGGCUCACCAAGGCGACGAUCCGUAGCAGGUCUGAGAGGAUGAUCUGCCACACUGGAACUGAGACACGGUCCAGACUCCUACGGGAGGCAGCAGUGGGAAUUUUGGACAACGGGGGCAACCCUGAUCCAGCCAUGCCGCGUGAGUGAAGAAGGCCUCGGUUGUAA